rnacentral:lncRNA from 1 species
CCCACUUCUGAGUUCCAUCUGGGAUCUGGAUUUGUGUGGGGGGAGGGGGCAGGGAGCAGCCCAGGGGGCCAGGGUCCCUUUGAGGGCCUCUGGCCCUGCAUCCUCCUCUCUCCUUGACCCCACCUUUCAAGGGGGCUGCCGGGGCUGCCGGGAAGGAAGGCCACACCCUCUCCUGAGAGGUGGGGGCCAGAGACCCACGUUGGCAGUGGGGUUUGCCAGGGCCCUGCCGUGGGGUCCUGUCCCUUAGUCUCCAGUGAGAUUGGUGCAUUCUGGGAGUCUCACCAGGUGACAGCCUGGCCAGAGCACCUCCUCUCAGCCUGCCACCAAGGCUGCCUGGAUGCAGACGCGGCUGCGGCCCAGAGCCCAGCCCCACUGUCCCCACCCACACUGCCCCGUCCAGGAGCUCUCUCUGCUGCUGUCCGUGAGAGACAAGCUGUGAAUUCAGGGGCCGGUGGGGGCUCCCUCACCCCUGCCUGUAUCUUGGGCAAAAAAUCUGCCUCCGACGCCAGGCCCUGGGAUCCUGCACAGCAGGGAAGGGGCCGGGGUCUGACUGUCCCUGGUCUUCGUCACUGAGCCACCAAGCCA